GUCACCUUUGAGGCCCUUCUUGCCUCCAUCCAGGCCCUAGACCUCCAGGCGGACUCGGUGGGUUUAUCAUCUGAUGAGUGGAUGCAGCGUUACGACCUUGAGGACCAGCUUACGGUCAUCUACACCAACGAGGAUUCCUAUUGGCGCCUUCGGGGCACCCAAAAAUGGGUCCUCAAGGGGGACACUAACACCGCAUACUUACAGGCGACCGCCAAUGAUCGGCGGUGGCGUAACACCCUUCUGUGGGAUGGGGAGACCCUCCUGCAGCGUCCGGCCGACAUUAGGUGUCAUGUUGACGGCUUUUAUAAAGCCUUUUUCUCCGCCCUCAAGGAGGGAGGCUUGGCACUUGCACCCCACUUCUGAGUGGGUUCCCAGUGCAUCUCGGCCACCAAAAAGGCUGCCCUCACGGCCCCGUUUUUUGAGGAGGAAGUUUGGCUUGUGAUUAAAGGAAUGAAUCCUUCGUCCGCCCCAGGCCCCGACGGUUUGCCGGUUAAGUUCUUCCAGACUUUCUGGCCCGCCAUAAAACAGGAGAUCAUGGCCCUCUUUGAGGAGUUCUAUGUGAGCUCCAUCGACCACCAGCUCCUCAACUACGGGAUUAUCACCUCGAUUCCCAAGGUGCCCGGCACUUCGGACAUUCGCCAGUUCCGUCCUAUCACGAUGAUCAGUGUGAUAUUCCGCAUUCUCGCAAAGGGGUACGCCAAUAAGGUGGCCCCUUUAGCUGACCGCAUCACUCACCCGGAUCAAUCCACCUUCAUUCAAGGCCAGUAUAUCUUGGAUGGGGGUCCUUGUCUUCCACGAAGUCCUACACGAGGUCUGGUCUGA
rnacentral:rRNA from 1 species